rnacentral:tRNA from 3 species
GCCAGGGUAGGGUAGUCUGGUUAUCCUAAGGGGCUGUGGAUCCCUCGACCCGGGUUCAAAUCUCGGCCCUGGCC